AAGCUACUCCCUCCGUCCUAAAAUUCUUAUCUCAUAUUUGUCUAAAUACGAAUGUAUCAAGUAGAUACUUCCGUAUCUAGACAAAUUUAAGAUAAGAAUUUUGGGACGGAUGUAUCUAGACAAAUGUAAGAUAAGAAUUUUGGGACGGAGUGAGUAUAUU
rnacentral:pre_miRNA from 1 species